rnacentral:rRNA from 1 species
CAAUAGCGUAUAUUAAAGCUGUUGCGGUUAAAAAGCUCGUAGUUGGAUUUCUGUCAAGGACAACUGGUCCGCCCCUCGGGUGAGCACAUAGUUUGGUCUUGGCAUCUUGUUGGAAACUGUUGCUGCACUUGGUUGUGUGGCGCAGUGUCCAGCACUUUCACUUUGAGGAAAUUGGAGUGUUUCAAGCAGGCACAUGCCUUUGGACACAGUAGCAUGGAAUAAUUAGAUUGGGCUUUUGCUCCAACUUGUCGGUUUCUGGAGCUGAGGUGAGAAUUAAUGGGGAUUGUUGGGGGCAUCCGAAUUUAGCCGUCAGAGGUGAAAUUCUUGGAUCUGCUAAAGACGGACAACUGCGAAAGCGUUUGCCCAGGAUGUUUUCAUUAA